UGGUGGUAGCACAGUGGUUAAGACCUUGGACUUCUGAUCAGAAGGUCGUGAGUUCAAAAUCCCACAACUGCCAA